rnacentral:rRNA from 1 species
AGUGAACGCUGGCGGUAGGCCUAACACAUGCAAGUCGAACGGCAGCACAGUAAGAGCUUGCUCUUACGGGUGGCGAGUGGCGGACGGGUGAGGAAUACAUCGGAAUCUACUUUUUCGUGGGGGAUAACGUAGGGAAACUUACGCUAAUACCGCAUACGACCUACGGGUGAAAGCAGGGGAUCUUCGGACCUUGCGCGAUUGAAUUAGCCGAUUUCGGAUUAGCUAGUUGGCGGGGUAAAGGCCCACCAAGGCGACGAUCCGUAGCUGGUCUGAGAGGAUGAUCAGCGGAACGGGAACUGAGACACGGUCAAGACUCCUACGGGAGGCAGCAGUGGGGAAUAUUGGACAAUGGGCGCAAGCAUGAUCCAGCCAUACCGCGUGGGUGAAGAAGGCCUUCGGGUUGUAAAGCCCUUUUGUUGGGAAAGAAAAGCAGCAGGUUAAUACCCCGCUGUUCUGACGGUACCCAAAGAAUAAGCACCGGCUAACUUCGUG